GUGUCAGCAGCCGCGGUAAUACGUAGGGGGCAAACGUUGUCCGGAUUUACUGGGUGUAAAGGGUGCUCAGGCGGUUUAGUAAGUUAGAAGUGAAAUCCUAGGGCUUAACUCUGGAACUGCUUUUAAUACUGCUAAGCUUGAAUGUGGAAGAGGAUGAUGGAAUUUCUGGUGUAGCAGUGAAAUGCGUAGAUAUCAGAAAGAACACCAGUGGCGAAGGCGGUCAUCUGGUCCACUAUUGACGCUAAAGCACGAAAGCGUGGGGAGCAAACAGGAUUAGAAACCCCCGUAGUCC
rnacentral:rRNA from 1 species